CACGUAGGGGGCGAGCGUUUGUCCGGAUUUAUUGGGCGUAAAGAGCUCGUAGGUGGUUUGGUAAGUCGGAUGUGAAAUCUCCAGGCUCAACCUGGAGGGGUCAUUCGAUACUGCCAUGACUAGAGUUCGGUAGGGGAGUGUGGAAUUCCUGGUGGAGCGGUGAAAUGCGCAGAUAUCAGGAGGAACACCCGUAGCGAAGGCGGCACUCUGGGCCGAUACUGACACUGAGGAGCGAAAGCGUGGGGAGCGAACAGG
rnacentral:rRNA from 1 species